rnacentral:rRNA from 1 species
UACGUAGGAGGCGAGCGUUGUCCGGAUUUAUUGGGCGUAAAGCGCGUGUAGGCGGCCAGAUAGGUCUGCUGUGAAAACUCGAGGCUCAACCUCGAGCUGUCGGCGGAAACCAUCUGGCUAGAGUCCGGAAGAGGAGAGUGGAAUUCCUGGUGUAGCGGUGAAAUGCGCAGAUAUCAGGAAGAACACCUAUGGCGAAGGCAGCUCUCUGGGACGGUACUGACGCUGAGACGCGAAAGCGUGGGGAGCGAACAGG